rnacentral:misc_RNA from 1 species
GAUGAAGAACGCAGCAAAAUGCGAUAAGUAAUGUGAAUUGCAGAAUUCAGUGAAUCAUCGAAUCUUUGAACGCACCUUGCGCUCUUUGGUAUUCCGAAGAGCAUGCCUGUUUGAGUGUCAUGAAAAUAUCAACCUUGACUUGGGUUUUGUGCUCUAGUCUCGGCUUGGAAUUGGGUGCUUGCCGCUUUAACGAGCGGCUCACCUUAAAUGUAUUAGCUGGAUCUGUCUUUGAGACUUGGUUUGACUUGGCGUAAUAAAUAUUUCGCUAAGGACAUUCUUCGGAGUGGCCUCGUUUCUAGGACGCUUGUCCGCUUUCCAAUACAAGUUCCACCUCGUGGACAUGACUUUUUAUUAUCUGGCCUCAAAUCAGGUAGGACUACCCGCUGAACUUAAGCAUAUCAAUAAGCGGAGGA